rnacentral:rRNA from 1 species
GGAAGUAAAAAGUCGUAACAAGGUCUCCGUUGGUGAACCCAGCGGAGGGAUCAUUAC